rnacentral:rRNA from 1 species
CCUACGGGGGGCUGCAGUCGAGAAUCUUCCGCAAUGCGCGCAAGCGUGACGGAGCGACGCCGCGUGGGCGAUGAAGGCCUUCGGGUUGUAAAGCCCUGUUAGCUACUAUGAAUCGCGGGUGGCGAAUAGCCAUCCCGCUUGACGUAAGUGGCAAAGAAAGCACCGGCUAACUACGUGCCAGCAGCCGCGGUAAUACGUAGGGUGCGAACGUUGUUCGGAAUCACUGGGCAUAAAGAGCGCGUAGGCGGUCCAAUCAGUCAGGUGUGAAAUCCCCCGGCUUAACCGGGGAACUGCACCUGAUACUGUUGGGCUUGAGUGCAGGAGGGGAGAGCGGAAUUCCUGGUGGAGCGGUGAAAUGCGUAGAUAUCAGGAGGAACGCCGGCGGCGAAAGCGGCUCUCUGGCCUGUAACUGACGCUGAGGCGCGAAAGCUAGGGGAGCA